rnacentral:rRNA from 1 species
GACGAACGCUGGCGGCGUGCUUAACACAUGCAAGUCGAACGGAAAGGCCUCUUUCGGGGGGUACUCGAGUGGCGAACGGGUGAGUAACACGUGAGUAACCUGCCCUUGACUUUGGGAUAACUUCAGUAAACUGGGGCUAAUACCGGAUAGGAGCUCCUGCUGCAUGGUGGGGGUUGGAAGGUUUCGGCGGUUGGGGAUGGACUCGCGGCUUAUCAGCUUGUUGGUGGGGUAGUGGCUUACCAAGGCUUUGACGGGUAGCCGGCCUGAGAGGGUGACCGGCCACAUUGGGACUGAGAUACGGCCCAGACUCCUACGGGAGGCAGCAGGGGGGAAUAUUGCACAAUGGGUGGAAGCCUGAUGCAGCAACGCCGUGUGCGGGAUGACGGCCUUCGGGUUGUAAACCGCUUUCGCUCAUGACGAAGCUUUGUGUGACGGUAGUGGGUAAAGAAGCACCGGCUAACUACGUG